GUUAUACAAAUAAUGCAAAUAAAUUUUAUUAGUUUAAGUAAAAUUUAAAUUNAAAAAAUAAAAANUAAUUUUAUUAGGUGAAAUUUUAAAAUUAUUUAAUUUUUAUUUUGAAUAAUUGAUUCUUAAAAAUUUUAUAUAAAAACUAGGAUUAGAUACCCUAUUAUUUAAAAUAUAUUUAUUUAUACUAAAGUAGUAUUAGUUAUGUUCUUGAAAUUUAAAAAAUUUGGCGGUAUUUUAGUCUAUUUAGAGGAAUCUGUUCUGUAAUCGAUAAUCCACGAUGGACCUUACUUAUAUUUGUAUUCAGUUUAUAUACCGUCGUUAUAAGAAUAUUUUUUAAAAAUAAUAAUUUUCAAUAUUUUUCAUAAAAAUUUAUAUCAGAUCAANGGUGUAGCUUAUAUAUAAGUAGUUAUGGAUUACAAUAAAUUUAUUUAUGGAUUUAUAAAUGAAAAUUUAUAAUAAAAUUGGAUUUAAAUGUAAAAUUAUAUAGAUUAAUAAUUUGAU
rnacentral:rRNA from 1 species